AAUAUUGUCUGGUGUCUCCAAGUCGUAUUUAAUUAGUAAUUCAAAUUCAUCUUUAUUGCAAUCAAUAGAUUGGAUAUUACAAUAUUUGUCAAAACAAUUAAACACAUUCAUAUAUAAAACAAGGACAUGUACAUUCAAAAUUAGUCAGAUAGGUACAUUACAUAAAUUUAUUUAGACCUUAUUAUAUUUAUU